rnacentral:tRNA from 1 species
AGCCCGGUCGUUCAGAGGUCAAAGCCAGACCCAGAGGGGAGGCGGUUAAGGAUAUCGGGCUCUGGCCCCGAUGACGCCGGUUCGAAUCCGGCCCGGGCUACCA